UACAGAGGUCUCAAGCGUUGUUCGGAUUCAUUGGGCGUAAAGGGUGCGUAGGCGGCGCGGUAAGUCGGGUGUGAAAUCUCAGAGCUCAACUCUGAAACUGCACUCGAUACUGCUUUGCUUGAGGACUGGAGAGGAGAUUGGAAUUCACGGUGUAGCAGUGAAAUGCGUAGAUAUCGUGAGGAAGACCAGUGGCGAAGGCGGAUCUCUGGACAGUUCCUGACGCUGAGGAGCGAAAGCGUGGGGAGCGAACAGG
rnacentral:rRNA from 1 species